GACGAACGCUGGCGGCGUGCUUAACACAUGCAAGUCGAGCGGUAAGGCCUUUCGGGGUACACGAGCGGCGAACGGGUGAGUAACACGUGGGUGACCUGCCCUGCACUUCGGGAUAAGCCUGGGAAACUGGGUCUAAUACCGGAUGGGACCAUUCCAUGCAUGUGGGGUGGUGGAAAGUCGGUGCUGUUGUGGUGUCGGCGGU
rnacentral:rRNA from 1 species